UUACUUACAUCAAAACAAACAACGGAACUCAAAAAACUAAUUUUACUAGCACCAAGUUACAUCAAAAUAAACAACAGAAGUAAUUGAAUUUAACUUUCAGGCGGUGCGAGUUACGUCAAAACAAACAACAAAAAAAUAAUCACACUUUAGGGAAACUUAAAUACCACUACACUUGACUUACGUUGAAUCUACAAAUACGUCAAUCCAAACGCCCCCUACAAGUUUAAUAAAGCAGGAGACGAAAGAUCAUUUUCUUCUUCAAAUCUCUCCCGAUUUGUCUCUAAUGGAGCGAUAAAGGAAACCGCUUCCGUCCCCGGAUUCGCCCUGUUUGUUUUCCUAGGAGUCGGUCCUCUUUAAAACGAAAAGUUAAAAAAAAAAAAAAAAAAUUCCCACAUUUUACCA
rnacentral:lncRNA from 1 species